rnacentral:rRNA from 1 species
UACGUAGGGUGCGAGCGUUGUCCGGAAUUACUGGGCGUAAAGAGCUCGUAGGUGGUUUGUCGCGUUGUUCGUGAAAUCUCACGGCUUAACUGUGGGCGUGCGGGCGAUACGGGCAGACUGGAGUACUGCAGGGGAGACUGGAAUUCCUGGUGUAGCGGUGGAAUGCGCAGAUAUCAGGAGGAACACCGGUGGCGAAAGCGGGUCUCUGGGCAGUAACUGACGCUGAGGAGCGAAAGCGUGGGGAGCGAACAGG